CACACCGCCCGUCACACCAUGGGAGUCAGUUGCUCCAGAAGUGGAUUGCCUAACCGCAAGGAGGGCGUCCCCUAAGGAGUGACUGGUGACUGGGGUG
rnacentral:rRNA from 1 species